GGCUUGUUGGUUUAAUGGUAAAACAUUUGUUUCGUAAACAAAAGCUACGGGUUCGAUUCCCGUACUGGCCU
rnacentral:tRNA from 1 species